AUUGAACGCUGGCGGCAGGCCUAACACAUGCAAGUCGAGCGAGCGGCGGGCGGGUGAGUAAUGUAUGGGGACUGCCCGAUAGAGGGGGAUAACUACUGGAAAAGGUGUCUAAUACCGCACACUCUCUGCUACCGCAUAUGGGAUUAGAUAGUAGUUAAGGUAAUGGCUUACCUAGGCGACGAUCCCUGGCUGGUCUGAGAGGAUGAUCAGCCACACUGGGACUGAGACACGGCCCAGACUCCUACGGAGGCAGAAGUGGGGAAUAUUGCACAAUGGGCGCAAGCCUGAUGCAGCCAGGCCGCGUGUAUGAAGAAGGCCCUAGGGUUGUAAAGUACUUUUAGUCGAGAGGCGUUACCGACAGAAGAAGCACCGGCUAACUCCGUGCCAGCAGCCGCGGUAAUUC
rnacentral:rRNA from 1 species